UACGGGGGGGCAAGCGUUGUUCGGAAUUACUGGGCGUAAAGGGCUCGUAGGCGGCCAACUAAGUCAGACGUGAAAUCCCUCGGCUUAACCGGGGAACUGCGUCUGAUACUGGAUGGCUUGAGUUUGGGAGAGGGAUGGCGGAAUUCCAGGUGUAGCGGUGAAAUGCGUAGAUAUCAGGAGGAACACCGGUGGCGAAGGCGGAUCUCUGGGCCUUACCUGACGCUCAGGCGCGACAGCGUGGGGAGCAAACGGGAUUAGAUACCCGGG
rnacentral:rRNA from 1 species